GAUGAACGCUGGCGGCGUGCCUAAUACAUGCAAGUCGAGCGAACAGACGAGGAGCUUGCUCCUCUGACGUUAGCGGCGGACGGGUGAGUAACACGUGGAUAACCUACCUAUAAGACUGGGAUAACUUCGGGAAACCGGAGCUAAUACCGGAUAAUAUAUUGAACCGCAUGGUUCAAUAGUGAAAGACGGUUUUGCUGUCACUUAUAGAUGGAUCCGCGCCGCAUUAGCUAGUUGGUAAGGUAACGGCUUACCAAGGCAACGAUGCGUAGCCGACCUGAGAGGGUGAUCGGCCACACUGGAACUGAGCCACGGUCCAGCCUCUUACGGGAGGCAGCAGUAGGGAAUCUUCCGCAAUGGGCGAAAGCCUGACGGAGCAACGCCGCGUGAGUGAUGAAGGUCUUCGGAUCGUAAAACUCUGUUAUUAGGGAAGAACAAAUGUGUAAGUAACUAUGCACGUCUUGACGGUACCUAAUCAGAAAGCCACGGCUAACUACGUG
rnacentral:rRNA from 1 species